CGGGCGUAGUGAUAAAUCAGGGAUGUAGGUGAAGGGUUUGGGAAGGCCUGCCGUAGACCGUGAUAGCCGGGUAGCUGAAAUGUUUCUGACUGCGUGAUGACAUGCCCGAGUAGCACGGGGCUCGUGGAAUCUCGUGUGAAUCUGCCAAGACCACUUGGUAAGGCUAAAUACCCGUCGUGACCGAUAGUGAAUUUAGUACCGUGAGGGAAUGGUGAAAAGUACCCCGGGAGGGGAGUGAAAUAGUGCCUGAAACCAGGCGCCUACAAACUGUCAGAGCCACAUUUCAAUGGUGGUGAUGGCGUGCCUAUUGAAGAAUGAGCCUGCGAGUUAGGAUGUGUGGCGAGGUUAACCCGUGUGGGGUAGUCGUAGCGAAAGCGAGUCUGAAGAGGGCGUUUUUAGUUGCAUGUUCUAGACCCGAAGCGGGGUGAUCUACCCAUGGCCAGGGUGAGGCACGUGUAAGAGCGUGUGGAGGCCCGAACCCACCAGGGUUGAAAACCUGGGGGAUGAGUUGUGGGUAGGGGUGAAAGGCCAAUCAAACUCCGUGAUAGCUGGUUCUCCCCGAAAUGCAUUUAGGUGCAGCGUUGCGUGGUUCUUUGUGGGGGUAGAGCUACUGGUUGGCUGAUGGGCCUGAUUUGGUUACUGACGUCAGCCAAACUCCGAAUACCAUGAAGUUGAGCGUGGCAGUGAGACUGUGGGGGAUAAGCUUCAUAGUCGAGAGGGAAACAGCCCAGAUCGCCGGUUAAGGCCCCUAAGUGUGUGCUAAGUGGGAAAGGAUGUUUAGUUGCUGUGACAACCAGGAGGUUGGCUUAGAAGCAGCCAUCCUUGAAAGAGUGCGUAAUAGCUCACUGGUCAAGUGAUUGAGCGCCGACAAUGUAGCGGGGCUGAAGUACACCGCCGAAACCGCGGCAAACAAGUUUUGUUUGGGUAGGGGAGCGUCCUGCGCGAGGUGAAGCCAUGGCGUGAGCUUGUGGUGGAUUGUGUGGGAGUGAGAAUGCAGGCAUGAGUAACGUUUGGGAGGUGAGAAUCCUUCCCGCCGUAUGACUAAGGGUUCCAGGGGUAGGUUCGUCCUCUCUGGGUUAGUCGGGUCCUAAGGCGAGGCCGACAGGCGUAGUCGAUGGGUGACCAGUUCUUAUUCUGGUACCGGUUUUAUUGCGUCCAGUGUCUUCUGCGUUGAUGCUAACCAUCCUGUCUACACCUUGUAAGCGAAUGAGGCGUUUGUCUUGUUUGUGGUUGGUGUGGGUGGCGUGGGGUCCUAAGUGUGGGAGGCAAGCGUGUUAACAGGUGUGACGCAGGGAGGUAGCUUCGCGUGCCUAAUGGCUUGGCGCGUUUAAGGGUGUGGCCCGUCCCCUAGGUAAAUCCGGGGGACAUUGUGGGUGAGGCCUGAUGGUGACCGUUUUUAUAGCGGGAAGUAGGGUGAUCCUGUACUGCCGAGAAAAGCAUCGACGUGAGUGGUAAGACCGCCCGUACCCGAAACCGACACUG
rnacentral:rRNA from 1 species